AGUGCCAGCAGCAGUAAAGGCAGUCAGCUCUACCCAGCAACCCUCUCAUUGCUUGUUCUAAAUGCACGUUGCCUUUGAUAAUCCCUGGGCUGGGGGGAAGUGCUGGGUAGAGCACUCAGAAGAAAUCAGAUCUGUUUACACUGAGAUAAAAUACAUUCUGUAGUUUGCACCACAUUGUUUGCUGUUACACAACCAUUUCUUCUGAGACCUUCCCUCCCAGUUGGGAUUUAAUUCAAUAUUUAACAGGUGUUUUGGUGGUUUUUUUGUUUCGGUUUUUUUUGGGGGAGGUGUGUGUGUUUUAAACUUGGAAAAAGGCUUUGCUAUAGGGCUCUACAUUUUUCUUCCAUCUGAAAUUUCACCUAGUGGCUACUACACACCUAAGAGUAGCUACACUACUAUUAAAUAUACACUUAACUGCCAUUUGGGAGCCAGCUCAGCUGUAGUUGCUUUCUGUUAAAUGCUGUUCAUGUGUGCAGUGUCCUCAGCUGUUGUGUAUGUAUCAUACAAAACUCAGUGCUAUUAAGAUUGAAGGCGUACCAUAUUCACAGCAAAUUUGUAAAUACAGAGCAAAAGAACUGUUUGGGGGUUGGAGGGGUUAGAGGUGUAGUUUUGGGGGGUUUUUUUGGUUUACCUGGUGCCAAUUUAGUUUUGAUUGAUUAAUUUUCUUCACUGAUCCUGGCUGCAGCUUAUUUAUAAGCCUGGGGAGGUGAAAAAAAGGGAAAUGCUUAAACAGUAAAUCUCAUCUUUAUACCAUCUGUUGCAGGCAUCAUGUAAUAUUUUCACUCAUGCUUUAUUAGUUGCAUUAGUUUCAUCAAAAUGGUUAAUUUCUUGGUUUAUACAGAGUGCCUAGCUCAGAUCUCAGCUCUAACAAGUCUAACAGACCAUAAGAAUUUUGGUGUGCCAUUUGAUUAUUAUAGAAAGACCUUCACUGUUAAAUUUAGGAAUACUUAGAGAUCUUUGCUGAAAUAGAAAGGAGAUUUAAGUUUUCAUUUAUCCACAGCUGUCUCCCACCCUACCGUCAGCUAUCUUUGACUGUUGUUGAUGUGUUUGAAGGGGAGUCUUCAGAAAGCCCCUUCUUAGUUUCUCAAAAGUGGAAAACUGCUAAAGGUAGAACUUUCCUGUUUGGGACCUCUUACAGUGUAAAAACCCUCCCUCCAUCUGCAGCACAAGAACAGCAAUCACCACUGUUUUUAUCAAGUAUAUGGAUUCCUGGACAGAAAUGAAGUUAUGCUGGCCAACUGCAAUUAUCUGUCUGUGUCCCUUGAAGUUACUCAGCGUGCCUGUAGAAUGUUAAGUUUGAGUGAUGAUGUUAACCAGUAUUUCACACCAUAAAUGAUAUCAUAUGGACUUUCAA